CCAAUAGAAGAUGAGGAGAUGAUCACUUAUAUACAUAAUGAUUUACAUGCAGAUUUCAACCCUUUUGUACCUGCUGUUGUAACUAGAGUUGAACCUAUUACUGUCUUUGAAUUAUACUCACAGCUUGAGAGUUUUGAAA
rnacentral:snoRNA from 1 species